UACGUAGGGUGCAAGCGUUGUCCGGAAUUAUUGGGCGUAAAGAGCUCGUAGGCGGUUUGUCGCGUCUGCUGUGAAAACUCGGGGCUCAACUCCGAGCUUGCAGUGGGUACGGGCAGACUAGAGUGCGGUAGGGGAGACUGGAACUCCUGGUGUAGCGGUGAAAUGCGCAGAUAUCAGGAGGAACACCAGCGGCGAAGGCGGCGCUCUGGGCUGGAACUGACGCUGAGGAGCGAAAGCGUGGGGAGCGAACAGG
rnacentral:rRNA from 1 species